AGUGGAAUUGUUGGUCAUAUGGUAAUUCUAUCUUUAACAUUUUGAUAAGCUGUCAAAAUAUUUUCCACAGUGGCUGCACAAUUUUGCAAUUCCACCAACAAU
rnacentral:pre_miRNA from 1 species